GGGAGUUGAAGAAAUUUAAAACAUGACUUCUUUCAGUGAUCAUGUCAUGAGUCAUAACUAAGAAUGGGGAAGCAUGAGUUUUUCUGCGAAAUCGGUGUAAAGUUGUAUGAAAGGUCAUGUAAGAAAAAAAACUAAUGUUGUCUAAAAGGUUGUCAUGUCAUGUGUGGGUUGACUUAAAAAGAACUGAUGCUUAAAGCCUUAAACUAAUAAGGUCUGUAGCUUCUGCUAAUUUCUUUGAAUGGAGUGGCAAUGAAUGAUAAUUUUGUUAUCCACGAAGCCAUGAUGCCUAAUUUCAACAGUUUUUAACACACUCAGACAUUUUCUUCGUGUCACGUGUUGCACAACAUUUAUUUAAGUUGCUCAACAUCUUUUUAAAGUUGCCCAACAUCUUUUUAAACGCACCAACAUUUCUUGAUAUCAAUCAACAUUUGUUUGGCAUGCACCAACAUUUUUUCUAGGUUUUUCUAAUUAUUUUUAUACUCUAACCAACAUUUUUCUUGAUAAUGACCAACAUUUCUUUACAUAAACAAACAUUUUCCUUUAACUUAUAUCUGAACACACACCAAUGUUUCUAGAUAUUGAUCAACAUUUUUUAUAUUUGCAGAACAUUUUUCCACACUCUCCAACAAUUUAUUUGACAUACACCAAUAUUUUUCUUGAUACACGAACAUUUCCUUUAAAUAAUUCAACAUUUAUUGAUGGUUGCCAAUAUUUUUUGAGCAUGUACCAAUAUAUUCUUAAAGCUGUUUUUAAACUCUUACCAACAUUUUAGAAUCUGUUCAACUUAUUUUUGAACACAUCUCCAAUAUUUUCUUUAUAUCUCUCAACAUUUUUUGAUGAUUGCCCACAUUUUUCCACAAUCUCCAACAUUUUUCUUGACCAUUAUCAACAAUUUUUUCAUACACAGUUUUUUCUUGAACUUAUUUUUUAAUAUUAUCCAACAUUUCAUUGACAUACACUAACAUUUUCCUUUAACUUAUUCUCGACACAUAGCAACAUUUGUUGAUAUUGACCAACAAUUUAUCUGACAUUCACCAACAUUUUGCUUGAUAGACCAACAUUUC
rnacentral:lncRNA from 1 species